rnacentral:rRNA from 1 species
UACAGAGGUCCCGAGCGUUGUUCGGAUUCAUUGGGCGUAAAGGGUGCGUAGGCGGCUUGGUAAGUCUGAUGUGAAAUCCUGGGGCUCAACCCCGGAACUGCAUUGGAUACUGCCGGGCUAGAGAACUGGAGAGGAGACUGGAAUUUACGGUGUAGCAGUGAAAUGCGUAGAGAUCGUAAGGAAGACCAGUGGCGAAGGCGAGUCUCUGGACAGUUACUGACGCUGAGGCACGAAGGCCAGGGGAGCAAACGGG